rnacentral:rRNA from 1 species
AGUGAACGCUGGCGGUAGGCCUAACACAUGCAAGUCGAACGGCAGCACAGAGGAGCUUGCUCCUUGGGUGGCGAGUGGCGGACGGGUGAGGAAUACAUCGGAAUCUACUCUGUCGUGGGGGAUAACGUAGGGAAACUUACGCUAAUACCGCAUACGACCUACGGGUGAAAGCAGGGGACCUUCGGGCCUUGCGCGAGUGACUGAGCCGAUGUCGGAUUAGCUAGUUGGGGGGGUAAAGGCCCACCAAGGCGACGAUCCGUAGCUGGUCUGAGAGGACGAUCAGCCACACUGGAACUGAGACACGGUCCAGACUCCUACGGGAGGCAGCAGUGGGGAAUAUUGGACAAUGGGCGCAAGCCUGAUCCAGCCAUACCGCGUGGGUGAAGAAGGCCUUCGGGUUGUAAAGCCCUUUUGUUGGGAAAGAAAUCCAGCUGGCUAAUACCCGGUUGGGAUGACGGUACCCAAAGAAUAAGCACCGGCUAACUUCGUGCCAGCCGCCGCCGUAA